ACGACCUUACUUGAACAGGAUCUGUUCUAUAGGCUCGUACCUCUGUAUCCUUGAGUUCUAAGGAGACAGGAUAUUAAGUCUGGUUGAUGAACCGGGUCUGCUUGGCCAGAGCGUGAUUAACGGCUCCCUCGGCUCACAGCCGCGGCGCAGUAGAGGAUCGUUCCUUGUCAGCUUAGCUGGCUGGGGUGGUCAAGCAGAUGUCUGACAGACU
rnacentral:snoRNA from 1 species